GUGCCAGCCGCCGCGGUAAUACCGGCAGCCCAAGUGAUGGCCGAUCUUAUUGGGCCUAAAGCGUCCGUAGCUGGCUGCGCAAGUCCGUCGGGAAAUCCACUCGCCCAACGAGUGGGCGUCCGACGGAAACUGCAUAGCUUGGGACCGGAAGGCCUGAGGGGUACGAUCGGGGUAGGAGUGAAAUCCCAUAAUCCCGCACGGACCACCGAUGGCGAAAGCACUUCGAGAAAACGGAUCCGACAGUGAGGGACGAAAGCCAGGGUCUCGAACCGGAUUAGAAACCCGAGUAGUCC
rnacentral:rRNA from 1 species